rnacentral:misc_RNA from 1 species
CAGAGUUCUUUGCAACUCCCAACCCUGUGAACCAUACCAACUUUUUGUUCUCGUUGCUUUCUGGCAGGCGGCCCCUCCGCAAAGAGGGGCACGCAGGCUCCGGUGCCACGCCCGGGCGCCUGCCAGAGGUGGCUUGCUCAAACCUUUCUUUUUUUCUUUUACCUAACCGUCUGAGAACGAUUUUCACAAAUCAAAUCA